rnacentral:tRNA from 1 species
CAAAAUAUAGCUUAAAUAAAGCAUUUUGUUUACACCAAAAAAAUAUUUGUCAAACAAAUUAUUUUGA